rnacentral:rRNA from 1 species
UGGGGAAUUUUGCGCAAUGGGCGAAAGCCUGACGCAGCGACGCCGCGUGUGCGAUGAAGGCCCUUGGGUCGUAAAGCACUGUCAACUGGGACGAAAACUCGUCGGUUAAUACCCGGCGAGCUUGACGGUACUAGUAAAGGAAGCACCGGCCAACUCUGUGCCAGCAGCCGCGGUAAUACAGAGGGUGCAAACGUUGCUCGGAAUUACUGGGCGUAAAGCGCGUGUAGGCGGCAUGCUAAGUCGACCGUGAAAGCCCAUGGCUCAACCAUGGAAGUGCGGUCGAAACUGGCAUGCUCGAGUCCUGGAGAGGGUGGCGGAAUUCUCAGUGUAGAGGUGAAAUUCGUAGAUAUUGGGAGGAACACCGGUGGCGAAGGCGGCCACCUGGACAGGUACUGACGCUGAGACGCGAAAGCGUGGGGAGCAAACAGGAUUAGAUACCCCCGUAGUCC